UCCGAUUUGUCACCGGCAGUCUCCUAUGAGUCCCCGUCUUUCACGUCUCCUUGUGGGAGAGGGCCCCGUUUCUGAGGCUUGCGAUCGAUGUCAAGUCUGGGUAAGGUUCUUCGGUUAGUAUCGAAUUAAUCCACAUGCUCCACCGCUUGUGCGGGUCCCCGUCAAUUCAUUUGAGUUUCAACCUUGCGGCCGUACUCCCCAGGCGGGAUACUUAAUGCGUUAGCUGCGGCACAAGAGGGGUCGAUACCUCUUACGCCUAGUAUCCAUCGUUUAGGGCGUGGACUAC
rnacentral:misc_RNA from 1 species